AAAUGGGAAUAUUCAUAGAAGUUAUAAACUGGUAAGGGAGCGGGCGGGCCGGGCGAUGGGCCAUGGCAGGCGCCGAGGACACGCUGGGACGGCAGCCGGAGCUGGACGAGGACAAGAAGGCGGAGGGUCGGCGCUGGGGCACACAGCACACGGGAGCCCGUGAGCUGGCGGCGCUUUACUCGCCAGGCAAGCGCUUCCAGGAGUGGUGUUCAGUGAUCCUCUGUUUCAGUCUCAUCGCGACUUGGUCCACCUCCUGCUGCUGGCCCGCUGGGAGCACACACCCCUCGUGAUCCUGGGUGUCGUUGCAGGGGCUCUCGUCGCUGACUUCCUGUCCGGCCUGGUACAUUGGGGUGCUGAUACGUGGGGCCCUGUGGAUCUGCCCAUUGUUGGGAAGGCCUUCAUCCGGCCGUUCCGGGAGCACCACAUUGACCCCACAGCCAUCACAAGGCACGACUUCAUCGAGACCAAUGAGGACAACUGCCUGGUCACGCUGCUGCCACUGCUAAACAUGGCCUACAAGUUCCGGACCCAUAGCUCAGAGACCCUGGAGCAGCUGUACCCUUGGGAAUGCUUCGUCUUCUGUCUGACCAUCUUUGGCACCUUCACCAACCAGAUCCACAAGUGGUCACACACAUACUUAGGGCUGCCAUGCUGGGUCACUGUCCUGCAGGACUGGCACGUGAUCCUACCACGGAAACACCGUUGCAUCCACCACGUGGCGGCCCACGAAACAUCCUUCUGUAUCACUACAGGCUGGCUCAACUACCGCCCAGAGGUUAUAGGCUUCUGGCGGCGCCUGGAGGAUCUCAUCCAAGGUCUGACGGGUGAGAAGCCGAGAGCGGACGACAUGAAAUGGGCCCAGAAGAUCAAGUAGCAUGUCUGGACUCUUCUUGGUCGCCAACCUUCCCGAACCUGAACUGAAGCCAUCUGCCAAAUCCUGGCGUCUCUGAGCUACCCUCCAGUGAAGAGAAGUCCCCUGGCCUGGGCCCGGGCACCCCGAGCCCACCCCCAGUGACACAGAAUACUUGAGCCACCCACUUUUCAUUUCCUCUUCUCCUUUUCUUUCCUUGGACCUUCCUGGCCACUAGCUGCUCCGAGGCCAAGCCUGACUGCAGACGGGAGCCCAGUCCUGCUGGCCAGCCCCACCCUAUGCAUCUGCUCUGCACGCCUGCUCCCUGGACCGGUGUAGGGUCACAGACAACAAGUGGUCUGUCUCGGUGACCCAGAGAGCCCCCAGAACACGUAAAUGUCCCUGGAUCAUGAUUCUCCCUCAGCCCUGUAGACAGACCCCAGAGGCCUAGGUGGGUAGGCCACCCCAGCUGCCACCCUAGGGAGGCAGAGCCGGGCAAAGGUCAGGGGGCAGCUGGCAAGGAGAGGCCACGAUGCCCUGCCCACGCGAGGAUACUCUCCCUUCCCCUAGUUCUCCUGUCCAUGUGUCCAGCCACUUCUGAGGUUUCCCUGCGGAGACAUCUUCAUGGGCACAGCUCUUGUGAAGGGCUUGGCCAUCUGGGGAAGGGACACUUUGUCCCUUCUGGCCAGUGUGUCAGAGGAGGAAGAAUAAGGCUUUUAUAUUUGGAUUUUUUUUUAAAGGUGCUUGCUUGUCAAUGUAAAUAAUAGAAAGCUUUAAUAUCUUUCUGUAACAUGGAGUAAUAUUUUAAUGUCAUGUUUUGGAUGUAUAUAAUAUAUUUAUAACAAAGGAAGCAUCUCCUUCA